rnacentral:rRNA from 1 species
CUCGUAGGCGGUUCGUCGCGUCCGGUGUGAAAGUCCAUCGCUUAACGGUGGAUCCGCGCCGGGUACGGGCGGGCUGAGUGCGGUAGGGGAGACUGGAAUUCCCGGUGUAACGGUGGAAUGUGUAGAUAUCGGGAAGAACACCAAUGGCGAAGGCAGGUCUCUGGGCCGUCACUGACGCUGAGGAGCGAAAGCGUGGGGAGCGAACA